CCUACGGGAGGCAGCAGUGAGGAAUAUUGGUCAAUGGCCGGAAGGCUGAACCAGCCAAGCCGCGUGAGGGAGGAAGGCGCAGAGCGUCGCAGACCUCUUUUGCCGGGGGACAAAAGGCCGGACUCGUCCGGUCCUGAGGGUACCCGGAGAAAAAGCACCGGCUAACUCCGUGCCAGCAGCCGCGGUAAUACGGAGGGGGCGAGCGUGAAUCGGAAUUACUGGGCGUAAACCGCUCGGAGGAGGGAUGUCAAGGUCAGGGUGAAAUCCCCGCGCUCAAGGUUGGAACUGCCUUUGAAACUGGCAAACUGGAGUGUGUGAGAGGAUAGUGGAAUUCCAGGUGUAGGAGUGAAAUCCGUAGAUAUCUGGAGGAACAUCAGUGGCGAAGGCGACUAUCUGGCACAUAACUGACGCUGAGGAGCGAAAGCGUGGGUAGCAAACAGGAUUAGAUACCCCUGUAGUC
rnacentral:rRNA from 1 species